UACAGAGGUCCCAAGCGUUGUUCGGAUUCAUUGGGCGUAAAGGGUGCGUAGGCGGCGCGGUAAGUCGGGUGUGAAAUCUCGGAGCUUAACUCCGAAACUGCAUUCGAUACUGCCGUGCUUGAGGACUGGAGAGGAGACUGGAAUUCAUGGUGUAGCAGUGAAAUGCGUAGAGAUCAUGAGGAAGACCAGUGGCGAAGGCGGGUCUCUGGACAGUUCCUGACACUGAGGCACGAAGGCCAGGGGAGCAAACGGG
rnacentral:rRNA from 1 species